rnacentral:rRNA from 1 species
CCUACGGGGGGCAGCAGUGGGGAAUAUUGGACAAUGGGCGCAAGCCUGAUCCAGCAACGCCGCGUGGAGGACGAAGGUCUUCGGAUCGUAAACUCCUGUCAGACGGGACGAAGGCGUAGGGGUAAAUAAUCCCUACGUUUGACGGUACCGUCAGAGGAAGCCCCGGCUAACUCCGUGCCAGCAGCCGCGGUAAUACGGAGGGGGCGAGCGUUAUUCGGAAUUAUUGGGCGUAAAGGGCGCGUAGGCGGCUUGGCAAGUCAAAGGUGAAAUCCCUC